rnacentral:lncRNA from 1 species
GGAGGGCAGGGGUCCUGGGAACACUUAGUCCCUUAUCACUGAUCAAAGCCAGGAGGUGCCGCCGACAGGCGAGGUGUGGCCCCACCUGGCUCUCAUUAGGCGCCCGCAGCCUUGUUCCUGCCGGCUCUGCUCUGGCUCACAGGCGCCCCAAGACCAGCUGCCCUGUGGCGGCCCGGCCAUCACACCUGGCAGAGGGACUCACAGGCCACACACCAGGCACCAGCGAGUGGACUCCGCAGCCCUGCACAUGGCCACAUGCCCAGUCCCGGCUGCCUCUCCCUGCAAACCCGGCAUUGGUGGAAGCUGAAGGCAAAGAGAUUGAUCCUGCAGCAACCCAAGGGCCCGGUAUCCCCAGGGCACUGUUCCCAGGGUGCGGCAGGAACCUGCGAGGAGGGGGAGGGGUGUCUUCUGUCCACAGCGCAUUCUUCCGGACAUUCUCCAGGAGGCCUUGCUGCACCAGAUAGGAUUUUGGCUGCAAGCAACAGAAAGCGGUUCCGAUUAACUUAGGCAAAAAGGAGUUUCCUGCAAGCUGCUGGGGCACCGUACCCGCCUAAAGGAAAGCCGUGCUGCCAGGCCUUGGGAAGGAGACUCAGCGCAGCACUAGCAGCCCCCCUCCCCGGCCCACUGGAGGGCCAAGUCUCUGGGGGGAGAACAUGACAGGCGUGGAGGGCUAGAGAUGCCCCCCUGAGUCCUCUCCUGCCUCUUCCUGUGAAGAAGGCCUCCCGCUGGCUGCACGUUUCCUCACUGUUUGCCGGGACUGGCUGUGCAAUUCCCCGCUGCGCCCGUCCCCAGCGCUCCACACAGGAGCUCCGCGAAUGCUGGCUUGUUAACCGGAUAGCUUGACACUCUAAUCAGUACGAAUUCACCUUCUCAGCUGAGAGGUUAGGAAAGUGUGGAAGGGGAGGGCUGUGGGACGCCACUCCCCACACACUGUUGUGUGGCCUGGGAAAGCUGCUUCACCCCCUUGUGCGUCGGUUUCCUCAUCUGUGAAACAGGGUAAUAAUAAAGUGUCUCUUAGAGUGGCUGCAAGGAUGCCAUUGAUGAAUCCUUUUAAAUGGCUGAGGUGGAGCGUCAGCCACCACGCACCCAGCAGCAGACGUUCCCUUGUGUCCGGCAGGGUCCGGCCUGCAUUUUUACUGAAUUCUUAUUCCUGUUUGCCAAAAGGGAUGGGAGGAGCUGAGUCGAGUGAGGACCUUGUGCCAGACCUGGGGCUCCGUGCCCACAGCCCAGGAGAUGGGAAUCACAGGAAUAUGACCUCUGGUCUUGGCUCU